GCUUCAAACAGGAGUGUCCAGUGAGGAUGCUGUGAAGUGAAACGCCUGCAGAGGCUGUGGCAGUUGAGGUAACACUUGAUGGGUCUUUGGAAAGAGAAAUGCAAGGCAAGGGGAGUGGAGGUUUGCGCUCCCAGGAUUGCCAAGCCAGCUGAGCAUGUUAGUACAGAGGCUCCCACAGUACAGGUACCUCGGCAGGGUUUCCAGUUCUCAUGGAAAAGAAAAUCCUCUGCUGUGUUUCCAGUGGAAAAUGGCAGCACCCUGCCAGGCUGUGCAAGCCAGGGAGUGAGUCUGGGCUCCUGUCAGAGCUGAGCAGUGUGACUCUGCUCCCAAAACUGAAGGGAAGCAACACCCAGGUGUGAAACUUAAACAAGACAUUUCAGAUUCCUUUCUGUGUAAGUAAUGAAUUAUUUUAGCAUAGAGAGCAGCACAGCUUGAAACGUUACUGUUUCCCUCUUGCUAUGUUUCAGUGACAGAGCCUGACAACACUUUCCCUGACCCCGUACCACAGAAGCUGGAGUUGUUAGUAUUUUAGAGCAUAGAUCCUCUUCUUUUCUAAUUAUAUAUGAAUACUGGCAUUGCUCUGUAAUGGGUUAUGAAGAUAAGGGAUACCUUUAAGGGAAGGUCAGUUUGUAGAGGUCAGAUAGCAUUCUUUACUACCUGGUUACUUCUGGGGAUCCUCAGACCUCUGGCCUUGAGACCAACUUUCCUCAAACUGUGGCAGUAUGUGAAAUGCUUGCCCAACACCUACCAGUAUGUUUGAUACUGUUGCUUCAAUAUGGUUUAUUUUUCAAUGAAGUCCAGUGUCCAAAACACAUCAAGGACUGGUCACUCACUGUUUCUCUCUGGAUUCUCAGCUGGAGUAGGAGGUUGGGUGAUCAGAAGUGCUGGGGAAUAAGUAUUUGGUGCUUCUGUGAAAUAGAGUGUGGUUGGUUGUGGAGGGAUGAUCAUCACAGAUAUCCUGGCGAUAGCUGGCACUAAAACACCCAGCUCUGGGGCUAUGUGCAGAGGAGAUGUUGACAGAGUGAAGAGCUCUGGGGAUAGAUCUGUCCUAUUUUGGGACUAGUCUAGGAUCUCCUUUGAUAGACAUUGUUGAGGCAAGAUACUUAGGUACUUGUAUUUUAUAGGGGAUGGGGUUGUAAAAGGGGAUCUCAGUCCUCAAGGCUUUAACUAAGCACUUUUCAUCAGCACAAUAUUGAUAUAAGUGUAUUUCUAAUACAUAUCUGCAUUAUUUAUGUGUGGUGCAAUUCAGAGCAGCACUUUGAUCCAUCUCUUUAAGUCAUGUUUCUGUAAUUUCUGAAAUGUAUUUGCACAAGCUUAAGUAUACAUGUUGUGCCUGAGAUGUAUAAUAAGCUGGAUACUAGCCACUCACCUGGCCAUGUGCGUUCCUAACUGCCUGAUUUGCAUGCCUUACUCACUGGGGAGUAAGUAGAAACUGAAACAAUCUGUUUCUAGUUAUUUUACUUUCAUUUCUUCAAGAUUUAACACAAAGUACCUGGACUGCAUUUCCUGUGCUUCAGAGAGGAGGAUAAACUGCUUGCAUUAUCUGUCCACCUUUUGGCUUAUCUGUCUUUGUGUGACCUCUGGAGAACCCAGAUAGCGGGUAACAUUUCUGAAGAUUGCAUGUUUGUUAAAGCUUUUGCAACCCUUUGGAGGAGGUCAUCACCUCUCAUUUGAGAAAUGCUGAUCUUAUCUGAACACCUGAAAGUCAAAAGCCGGUUAGUUUCAUCUCCCAACCAAAACCCUGUGGGUAGACCAAGGUGUUUCAAUUCCCAAGAGACUGAGUGGCCAGGGCCAAAGAUGUGGGGGAAGGAGCUGAGCUGGUAUGUAGCCAACGGAUCAGAGCAUGCGAUGCACCAGCUGCAGAAAGCAGCUGCUCCUGUGAAGUCCCAUGCCAAUGCAAGGAUGCUUAUGGGGGCACUGUGAGCAUUUUUUCCUGGGCUGCUUUUGGCUUCCAGCUGGGAGGGAAGGCAGGCAAGGAGCUGGCUGAUGAAAGGGGAGCCCAGUGUAACUCCGUCAAGACUGGAGUGACACUCUGAAUCUGCAUCUGCCUCAUGAAGGCUAUAAGAUUGUUACUGUGUCUUGGCAGCAAAGGUAAAAACAACCACACAAAUGCAUGAGAAUUGCAUACCUUACUGCUCAACCCCUGCUCCUUCCAGAUUGGCUUCCCUCCUAAAAUGUACUGUGUAAGGGAUGCCUGCACUCAUCACAGACCUGAAGGCUUGCAACGUUCACUCCUGGGGUACUGCUUUUUACCUUUCAAUAGUAUAAUGUUAAGCCAAGUGAUGGUAUUAAGGGUAGGCUGAAAUACUGUCAACUGGCUUCUCUGUUUUUUUUAAGCCUUUGGUUGUUUUCUUUCCACCCUGGUUGCAUAAUCCAUGAGUGCUCGGUGUUGAUUGCCCCGUGCCACUGAAGCAUUUGCCUGUGUUGAGACACAAACUGUUAAAAUAAGGUGGUCCUCUGGAGCUGGGGACUUGGCAUGGUGGCAGAGACAUGGCAUCAAAUAGUACGAAAGAGAAAUCAGAGUAAGUUGUAGCAUGUACUUUGGUCUUACUGUCUUUGGGUAAGGAUGCUUUGAAAAUGGGUUUGUAGCACUGCCUCUUCACAUGUCACAGAGUUGGGGAUGCUUGAAGACUGGGUCUUUCUCAGCUGUGUGAAAGAGCUGAGCAUGGGAGACACUGAAUGGCAAAUACCUGAAUUCAUGGCAUUGCCCUGGCACACAUAUUGCCUCCAGUUGUGGUCUCAGCAGCCAGCUCUCGUGGAGGGAGCUGUUCCAGGAGAGCUUAAAACUACUUUUUCAUCAUGCAGCUGCAGCAAAAAAUACCGAUCUGUCCUCUCUACUCUCUUUCCUCAUGGAUGCCUGAACAAAACAAGAUAUGAGAGAGAGCAACCAGCUCUGAGUACAAUAUUGAAAUACGUUUUUUCAUCUAGUAAUACAUAUAAUUGGAACAUCUUCCCUGAAUGUGCUGCUGUAGUUGCAGCAGUGUUAACCUGUUCAUACUUGAUCUGAAGGAGGUAGAUUGUUUAUGUGCCCAGAAGCUCAUGUUACUGAAACAGGCAUUCGCACAGCUCAUGAGAAGUGUCAGUGAGUUGUGGCUCAUACCAAUGGAUGCAGCAUGUGCUGUGGUGUAUAGUGCUGUCAAGGUGGGCUCGGUGAGCUCUCAGUCUGUUCCCAGCUGUGUUCUAAAGGAAAAGUUUAUCUUGAACAGUAAGUAUGAUGGUAACUGGAGAACGGUUAUUGUCCCUUUCCAGUUUCCAGGAGGCCAGUUUCCUGUGUCGCUGUUUAGUUUGUGAAGGUUCUCAUUUUCCAGAUACUGUGGAGUGGUAGAAAAGUAGGGAAGGGACCUGAGGCAUGAGUGAGAUAGAGGUUUAAUUUCAUUGAAAGAGACAUCAAGGAAGCAAAAUCUAGGGCUUGAAAGGUAAGAGGAAUAGCUGUCCAGGCCUCACCCCCAAAACAUUCAGAUUAAUCCUGUUGCAGUACUGCCUUAACAGAAACUUGGGAUGAUGAAGGCUGAGGUUGAUAUGUUCUUCAGCCUUUCCUGCUGGUGCUUCAGCUUGUUUCCUGAAAGUCAGAGGGUUAAAAGGGGGUCUGUAGUGAUAAACCUAAGGCAGAGAGGGAAAUAAAGGAAGGAAUUGAGUGAGGGCAUUUCGUGAGCAUCUGGCCUCAUGUGCCUCCAGAGCCAUUCUCUGCUGGAGUGUUAACAUAGGUUGUUUAACAGAGAGCCCUACUGUUUCCCUGGAGAGUUUCUGCUGGAGCUGUUGAUGAACCACUUCUGCUUGUCCAGAGGAGAGGCCAGUGUGCUCCUUGAGAUUCCUUGUGUCUGGGCAGCACCAUUAUGGUUGUUGAGUUCAGAAAGAGCAGGAUUUCCUUGGGCAAACGAUUUGUUUGGGAGUGAUGUUUUAUGGAUGAGUUGGUAACAUGGUCAAAUUCUCAGGAAGCUAACAAGGAGAGUGCAGUAACCUCAUGGACAGAGAGGGGGACUGGAGGCAUAGCGGGGAGCUUUGCAGCACUUUCAUCUUCCGAGUAUGUGCAGGUGUAUUUAUUACUGUUUUCCUUGGGAAGUGCCUUUACUAUCCUGCAUUAGAGGAAUUCCUUUUUCCAGAUGAUGCUCUGCUGUCUCUCUCACACUGUUUUUCAUCGCCUAACUGCCUUUUGCUCCCUCCAACUCUAGCUCACUGCCUAGAAUUGCCUUGUCAGUCACUGCUUUCUUCAUUAGCUGUAGUUUCUGAUUGCUUAUUCCUAUCUAUAGUUCAAUCAACCCUUCCUUUUAUAAAGGAUGGAAAAGACUAUGUGCAUUGAAUAUUAUAUCAUGUUUUUGAUGUUUACCAUUGGUAUAAUAAUGCUUGAAUUGAAAUUGGUAACUUUUAUCGAUUUCAGUUACCUGUUUAAGAACAUUGCAGUUUUGCUUAUUAUGUUUUUAAUGGGGAAAAUUAACUCUUAGUGUUUUGGUGCUUUUUAGAUUGGGAUACAUGAGGCCCCUGUCACAGUUCUGUCAUCUGAGUCUUGACAGUCUCAUUUCUUCUAUAGUCCUCUUCUUUUUAGUAUUUUUAUAGUAUUUUAUAUAUUUGUUUUCUCCUCUCAGAUUGAGUAUUCAAGAGUAUAAAUACUGUGGUGACUACCUGGGCAGUACAGACAGUGUGUGUUAAUAUAUAUUGUGAGGUCCAGAGAUGUGCUAGGUCUGUCUCAGGAAAAGCAGUCUGCCUUCUAACUAGCUUGGCUGUGUAACUUGCAGAUUUUUGGUUUUCACUUAGCUAAAUACGAAGUAUUCAAGUGUUUGAGACAGUUGGGCCCAUUGAACCCAUGGUAACCCUCAUGGCAGUCAAGGGUUGUAUUUGACAUUGUUACAUCUUAAGAUCGAGGUAAGACAGAAACAUGCAGCGAAUGUAAAGAUGCCAUCAGAGAAACACAGUGAUUUCUGUUUGUUGUAGAAACACAGUGAUUUCCUUUCAGAUGUUAAUUUCAUGAUCUGAUUAAGCAGUAACAUUUCCAGUACAUGGGAAUGUCAUUUGCAGGAGGAAGACAGGCCUGAUGGUAGUAAUGACUUAGUUGAACAAGUCAGUUUCUUUUGCAUUGAGCUAAGGUGUGUGUCACUGAUGAGCAGCUUCUCUGAAAUGUAAGAACAGUAAGCUUGCUUAGAAGAGUAGCAUUUUGAUGCAGAAGGGUAACAGCAAACAGAUUUUCACAGUACCAUAUGGUAUUAUUAACAAACAAAUCGUAAGUUAACUUGACAGCUCUACCUUCAAGCUAAUCUAGUCUGCAGCAAACAUAAAUUCCUCUGAGAUGAAAUCUGAAGACAAUACUAAGCUCUGGGAUUGUAUCCAGAGCAGUAACAGUAUCACAGCAGUGAUGAAUUUCAGGCUUUCUAGCUAUGAAUACAUGUUUUCCCCAGAUUUAUUGGUUUCUUCAUCAGCUUUGCAAAAACACAUCAAACCGAAACCAAGCAGGUGGAACAGGGAGCGUUCAUGCAUCUGCCUAACAGGACUGCAGGGAGAGGAGCUGCAGUUUGAAAUACAUUCUUCCUGAUGCAGAGCUGUGAUCGACUGAUGGAUAUUUCAUCUGGUGCACUCUGCUGCUGAAACCCGAACUGUGGCUCUGCUCGGCUGCAGUCCUGGAGCUUGAGUUAAUUUCAUUGCGGCUCCAGGCUGGGGGACCCAAAGCAGCAAAGGGCAGGAGCGAAGAAGGGAACAGGGAACGUGUGAUGUGGAGGAGGGAGGAGGGGAAACGGGUACAUUACUUUUAAUUGCCUUCUUGUUUAACCCCCUAGCUGUUUUCAAAUUUUCUAACUGAAAUCUCAUCU